GCAAGUCCAAGUACACGUCCUUGAACGACGGAAACUGCGAACGGCUCAUUAAAUCAGUUGCGAUCUACUCGGCGUUCCGCGCCGCCGGAUAACCGUAGUAAUUCUAGGGCUAAUACGUGCGAAGCGCCCCGAAGCCGCGAGGCGACGGGCGUUCUCGCCGGAUGUAGGAACCGACCCGGGGACCGCCGGGGGCAACCCCGGCGCCCCCCGAGACGGGGCGAACCACGGUGAAAUGACGGAUCGUCGGCCCCGCGCCGGCGACUCGCCGAAUGAGUUUCUGACCUAUCAACUCGAGACGGCGGGGUAGAGGCCCGCCGCGGUAACGACGGGUAACGGGGAAUCAGGGUUCGAUUCCGGAGAGGGAGCCCGAGAAACGGCUACCACUUCCAAGGAAGGCAGCAGGCGCGCAACUUACCCCUAAUCUCGAUUCGAGGAGGUAGUGACAAGAAAUACCGAUGCGGGACCCUACGGGUGCCGCGUUCGGAAUGAGUACGAUUCGAACCACCUAACGAGGAACGAUCGGAGGGCAAGUCUGGUGCCAGCAGCCGCGGUAAUUCCAGCUCCAAUAGCGUACGUUAAAGUUG
rnacentral:rRNA from 1 species